UCCUUUCCGCAAAUCAACCCACAUCUUUCACAGUUUCACUCGCUUCUCGCUGUUGCCAACUGUUGGCCGCCGGCCUUGCCAACUCUCGCUGCCCACCACAGCUAGGGCCCUCCAAGCCGCCACGCCGGGUGCCGGGUGUCUGCUGGUUUUGGCUGCUGGCUGCUGCCGCUUCUCCUCUCGCUGCCUUCUCCGCUCGUGCUACCUGCUGCCGUGCUGCGGACCACUGUUGCUGCCGCCGGCUCAUAAACUAAUCGGUGAACUGUUGUUGAAGCGCCGAAGGAGCAAGACUGCUGCAAGAGCAAGGUAUGUUUCGAAAAUAAUUAAAGAAGAAUGAUUCAAUGAUGUUCUUCAGACUUGCAUAAAGUUUUGAUUGCCAUGUAAUUUUUGAAGUUACUAUCCGCGUCAGCCAUGUAUUGUGCCAACUUUUGAUAGACUAAGCAUCCAUGAUUUUUGUGCUAUAUACGUCAGUAAUGAAGUACAGUUUCAGAUCCAUCAUUCAUUCAUGCGUUUUGGGCUAUGCCUUUUUUAGUAGACAGUCGGCCAUCUUCUGAUUCAGAAAAGAGGUGACAAUGUUUUUUGAAUUUUUGGCUCAGGUGACACUGGUGAAACAGAAAACCAUGGUCCAGGAGAGCAUAUCUGUAGUUAUUGGUUGUAGGCGUCUUUUGGUCAGUCCGGUGUAUUCCACAGUUGUGGCUAUGGAGCAUUUUUGGCCAGUUCCGUGUAUUCUACGGUUGUGGCUAUGGAGCACUGGAUAAUAGUAAUUAUCCACAAUAGCAGGUAUGUUGGUGUUACCAUGUAUCUGUGUAAACAUAAAUAGUGAGCAUUGGAUAAUAGUAGUAAUUAUAUGUUAUAACAUUGUUAGCUGCAUCUAUUUUUGUGCACAUUUUGCUUUGUAUUCGAAACUGCCAGAUAGGACAAAUAAACUAUACGUAGUACAUGUACAUAUGAACUGAAUUACACCGGGCAUCCUGAAGCCAGCGGGUAAAAACAAUGGAACAACCUGGAAGCAAGAAUGCAGCACAUGCAAAAACAUAUAAUAAUGAAGGUGUAUAAAACAUAGCUGUUUUUGGCAAAAAGAAUCAAUUCUUUCUAGUGCCUUAAUUCUGGGGCUACACAUUUGCAGCUCUUACAACUUAUCUGCGAUAAUCUGUCAAAGUACUGCAUGCAUCAAACAUUUGCUAGGAUAGCUGAAAGCUGAAACUAUCCGGCACAAGGACCAUCUAAUUUUCCAAGGCUGUUAGUCACUAUGUGUGAACAAGGCCCUCAAAACUCUACCCGAGCAAACACGACGUUCCAUCUCCGAAUAGAAAGUGAGGCACCCAGCAAAAACUCCCUUUGCAGAGACAACGCCACAUCCUUAAGUUAGUUCUACACCCUUCAUCAGCAUGAAGAAAGAACGUAUGAAAGCAGAAAUUAACAGCAGUCACAAGCAAUAAUCAACGGCAAGCAACACCAGGUAAAGACAUGAAACGACACAAUGCAUGGAACACACACAGUUAGAACCGGGUAAAUAACUGAAUCUGAAAUGAGUAUAAGAAAAGAAAAUGCUUAGGAGGAGAUGAAACCUUGGCACGACGAAAGAGAGCAGCCGAGGCGUCGAGCGAGCUGAACUGCAGCUGAAUCUUCACAAAACUGGAGUGAGGAGGCGAGCUGACCGGGAUGGAAAACAGAUGGAGGCAGAAACAACUGGCUGCUCAACAAAAUGAUGGCAGCGGUUAAAUGCAAGAAAAAGAAUAGGGUCCUGAACACAUGCCUUCUUAAAUUCGAUCAAGGUUUUAUCGGUACAGAGUAAUGAAGCUUGUCAACAUAAUUUGUUUUAUUCUAAUAUAUGAGAAGCAUGAUACAAGCGCAUGCAUAGAUUAAGAAAAACAUCAAUGACACACACUAGUGAGAGGCAAACGUGCCGAGAGAUUGCUGACUAUUAGAUCAUAAUCUAUUUACAACAUGUAAAAUUAGCAUUUUACCUUAUAAAAUUCAGGCUAACCAACUUACCAAGCUAGGAAAGCAAAAGGCAUACAAUGCAUAUAAUCUAUGGAAUACCGAGGCAAGCAAUAGGAUGAACCUGUCUUUGGUGAGGUCUGAAUCUAUACCUAUUUACAGUGUUACUGCACCGAGUCCGUAAAUCUCGCAAACUUGGCUGCACAAAUAUUAUAGGUGUCAUUAUUUUCUCUCAGCCAAUGUAUAGCAGCAGAUUCCCAACUCGAGCCUGCCACUCUUCAAAAUAAAAAUCACAUCCUACCAUACCUCAGAGUCUGUGGUAAACAACACCAGCUCGGACGGCGUCCAUUAGCAGCUGGUCUUUGUCUUCUUCAGCUGAAAGUAAUGGUGAAGCAGAUGACGAGCCAGCGCGUGAGGCCACGCCCUGUUCCUUCCCCCGCUGGUCUCACUCGCCCAAUUCCCUCCCCCUGCUGGGCUUGCCGGUUUAUUCAGAAAAAUAAGAAAGGAACCACAACACUUGCACAAUAUUGCAUAGAUGGGAAGAAAGAGAGAGUGAUAGAGAUCAGGAGCAAAGUGUGAGAAGGACGCAGAGAAGCUCACUUUGGCAUCACCGACGGCGCUGCCACCUCGACCUGAGAGUACCUCUCCGUCUGGAUCCCUACACCCCCACCUCGGGCCAUUGUCCUGCAGUCUUGCCAGCCCCAACUCGACCUGUGAGCGGCUCAUCCAUCCGUGGGCAGGAGAAGACGCUGCCGCCUCGGCCCGUCGCCUUGUAGCCUCGCCCGCCCCCACGGCCAGAUGCGCUGUUGCACGGGGAGAGAGGAGGAAAGACAAGGGUGGCGGCGGCAGCUGGAGAGGAUGAACGGGGGGAGGAGAGGUGGCGGCUAGGGUUGUGCCCCGACCUUAGAUGCGGGCUGGAGGAGGACGGGGAUUGGUGGAUGAGUCGUCGAGGAUCCCCGCGGUUAAAAUUUUAUCACCCAAGACGCAUGCGACGCACACACAGCACGCACACUGCCAAACCAGACCCGCGAAAGACGAAGGCCCACCCGUCAUCUGCCUAAGCAAGAAACAUCAGCGUGGAAAGAAACAAGCCGUGGGAUUGUUGACAGCACGGUGAAAAACCUCCAGCGAGGCAGAUCGAGUGAAAGAGAUCGCUCGCGCGUCGCGAGUGCCUCAGGUGGGCGGGUUGCCUAGCAUCCUUUAUACUAGACUGGAUCGGGAUCGCGCCCUGCCGGUCCCAACAUUUUGGUAAAGCAAGUAGUGGUGCCGGUCCCAACAUUUUGGUAAAGCAAGUAGUGCUAAGUUAGUAAAAAUCUACGUUUAGCGUAUGAAACAUGAUAACAAACUAAAGUGAAGAAGAAACAUUCGUUUGUGAUAAAACAUAAUGGAGUUCAAUAUCGACAUGAAAUUAUAAGGCAAUGUUGAGUUCAGCAUGUACAUAAGACCACAAAAGAUAACCACUCAUCAUUAAGUUUGGUACCAAAAUCAUUAAUAUAGGAUAGGAAGGACUGAAAGUAGGCACAUAAUGCAGAGCCCAUGCUUUUAGCAGAGAGAACGAUUAUCUUUGACAUAGAACUUGUACUUGUGGAUUAGUAGGUGAUAUGAGCAUGCCGCAGUAUAGUACAUGUGGGUUAGUAGGUGAUAUGAACUUGUACAUUGUGGAAUUUUACCUUCGCUGUCAGUAUAGUAGCUCAAAGCUUGACGCAUCAAGUUUGGCAAAAAGGAAUGGAUCAAAAGCAAUGUGGUAUAAUAAAUCAGAAUUAGAGCAAGCCAUUUAUAUAGAAAGCAGCACACUCCAUAUGUCAUUCAUAAUAAUUAGGUCAUUUGUACAUACAGAUACUGAAGGCUGAGUAGUGCAUUAGAGGGUAGCUGUACAGUACAGAAUACAUGUCUCAUUACUUUGGACAGAAGUGUAGAAAAGCAUAAUCACACUGAUUUGUUCUGUGAGUACAUCCUUCGACGGUAAAUGGCUCUACGAAUUCCAAGAUGAUCCAACAUGAUAUAAAGAAUGAUCCUGGCCGAGAUUCUCACAAUAGUAUGGUCAACCUGAGUCGUCAGAAAUGGUUUAGAGACAACAUAAGUAAGUGGUUGAAAUGUAUAAACAGUAAAAGAAAGUACAUGUGCAGGACAAUAGACCAAUUCCAAUUGGAUUUCUUGUAGAAACAAACAUGAUACAAAUCCUACAAAGCAAGUUGAUAAUUUUCAUCAAACCUUGAUAGGUGGACGAACCCAAUAAGAACUAAAAACUUUGGCACCAUAUUCUGCUACGUUUCUUUAAUUCUUUUCAACAUGAGAAUGCAAGAAAUUCAUUUCCUUGUGAAACCUCAUACGUUAAUGGAUACCCCAUGGAGUCAAUCCAGAGAUAUGGCAUGUAUCACCAUCAAGCUAGCACACACAGUUCAUCUAUGAAAUCUACUCCUAUAAACUAAAUCAAGCUAGCAUACGCAGUUCAUAUCCAAAUAGGAUUACAUCUCUUGGGUUCUAGUUACCCAAAUCCAACCAUAGAUCCUCACAAGCGAGGUGGGGGGCAUAGAAGAGCAAAAGGAGCUUACUUGCAAGAAGAAGUCAGACUCCAGGGUCGCGCAAGUGCUAGACAUGCCAUCACAAGCACCAUUACGGCUCUUGAUCCAGAUCCCCUCCUUCACCGUAUGAUGCCACUUGAAAAUAGACCAUUUUCCUGGGUGGGAAAAAGCAUGGCUCAUAGGCAUUGUGGAGGCUCCAUCCUUUACACAAAGGUGUAGAAAAGGCAACUCAUCUCCAAACAAAAUAACUUGAAAUAAUUCUUUCUUUGGAACUGCUUAAUUUAAAUGCAUGCAGCUCUUUAUUUGUUUAGGAUGUAUGCAAGAAUUUCUAGUAAGUUCUACAUGGAAAGAACUGAACACAACUUGACAGCAAGACAAUCUCAUGUUUAAGUUGAAGUUGAAAUUGUAUGCUCAAUAUUUAUGAAAUUGGAUGCUCAAUAUGUGUCUAACCAUAUCUAUCACGGGCCUUUGUCACAGAAACAGGGUAAGUAAUCGAGUAGGAAUACCACAUCACCAUGUGUCAGCAGUUUUAUUUAUUUUCAUAAUAAAUACACCAUCACCAAGGAACAUACUCAGUUUUGAAGCAAUGUGUAUAUCCUAUUAUAAUGUUUGGUAACUGAUCAUAAACACUAAGGAGCAAAGCAAGUGUGCACGAGUCCUUUUUAGUAUACAGAACAUCAUCCUAGCAUUAGAAGCAAGAAAAAAAAUCACCUGCCGCCUGAGCUCUGAUUUUCACAUGCCUAAAACAUGCAAUUCAUAUAUAAACCCAAAACAAUAUAAUGAUACAUUUAUAAAACUCUCUGCAGUUCAUGUAUAAACCAAAAUCAAUAUAGUGAUGCAUUCCUAAAACCCGUUGCAAUUGAUGUAUAAACCUUGAAGGAGUAUUGUAGUUUUUUCCUAAACACGUAUCUAGCAAGAAAGCAGACGGGCCCACAGCGUCCUGCCGACGCUGCCGGACCAAGGACCCAUGUGUCUCCCGCCCCCAUAAACCAGGCCAUGCACCACAGGUCCUGCACCGCGCCAGAUCUAGCCGGGCAAACGCCUGCCGGCCACCACCAAAGCAGGGGAAGACCCCGCAGCCGCCGCAAAUCACCGUGCCACCGGGGGGUGAACCUGGAACCCCGACGGAGUCGAGAUGAAGGCGGCAAAGCUCCGACAAAUGUCCAUCACAUGAUAAAUAAAGAAAAAAACAAAUUAGCGGAUCUUCUACGCAUAUCCACUGCUAUAGAUUCAAAUAACACUAAUCGGAAAGCAAGGAUGUAGCUUUACAGGACCAACCAGUAGCUAAGAAAUCAGGGGCUAAACAAUUAUUUUGUCUAAGAGCUAGUACAUACUACAGAAUGAAUACUGCAGCAAGAAUUAAUAGAACACUUGACCAGUCCAACCAAAUUAAUAGGUUAUAAUACUACACCAUGUCUUGACCAGCUCCAAACUAAAUUCUAUUUGGAUUCUGUGUAAACGAAGCCUAGUUAUACUACUACAAUAACCUAGAACCACUAAAGCACCCACACAAACAUUCACAGUAUCCUCAUCUUGAUGAAAGCAAAAAUGUAUCAUAUAGCACGCACACACACAAAUAGUCACAGUAUCCUCAUCUAUGAAAGCGAAAAUGCAUCAUAUAGCACGCACGCACACAAACAGUCACAUUAUCCUCAUCUUGCUGAAAGCAAAAAAUGUAAAUACAUACCUUGACCUGGAACGGUAUGGUCCAGUCUCAGUUGACAGUCUUGAUGAUUCAUGUUGGCCUUUAGAUAUGUUUUUGAACAACAAUUUUUCUUGCUGCUUGUAGAAGACAACAUCCUUCACAUAACCACCAUCUAAGCACUCCGCCAAUGGAAGGCCAUCAGUGAUACAGGCUAUCACUGUCAGCUUCACCAUUUCAAAAAGAUAACAAGAGACAAGCAAAAGUGCCACCUGCACAAAAAAGCAGAGGAGAGCUAGUAAAUACUUGUAACAUGUUCACUUCAGUAUAGAGGAUCCUACUUAUCCAAUGACCCAUAUAUCUCAAACAGAACAGAUUAAUAUCUCAGGCAACAGUGAAUAUCUAGCAUGUUCUCCAAAGUUACAGAAUAUAACAGGUUCAGAGACUGUCAAGAUCAAACAAUAACGAGGUAUUUUGUAGCCACAUGGCAAAGCUAAUAAAAUUUCUUCUAAUUUAAAUCUCAGACAUCUCACUGAAAUAAAUAAUUUGAUACAUAACUGAAACUGAACUCUAACCUUUUGUUGUUUAGUUGUCUUCUAAUGACUAUCAACACAGGUAUAACUAAAACUUCGAAAGCUUAAUGUUAACUAGAUUAGAACUUUCGAAGUGUAACACCAUAUUGAGCAAGACUAAGGUAAAAGCAAGAAAGAUUAAAAUUGAUUACCACAAUUACACAAAGAGAAGUAUUUUUCCUUUUUCAGGCAACCAAAUCUAACUCAAUGUAUGGUAUGUAUUUGUUAUUAAAUAUUUAAUCAGCAAAGUCUUGAGAGAGAGAGAGGGGGGAACUUACCAGUUGAAGGGGCCACAGGAGUGAGGGGUGAGGAGACGCUCGGAAGUGGCACCGCUAGCCAGCAGCACCUCAAAGGCCGAAGCCAAUCGACUGGACUCCUGAUGCUCACCAGCCUGCACUUGGUCCUCUUGCCUGUGACACUGUAUAGCAGAAACACAUAAAAUUGAUCACACAGAGCUUAGAGCAAGUUUCUUCUUGCAAAAAUAAGAGAGCAUAUUCCUAACACACAUAACCAAUGUUAUUCAUUCACACCUCAUUAUACUUCCUUGUAUAGUCGUAUGUGUAUAUGGUUUCACUAUGUGGUUUGAUACACUGAGACUUCACCUCCAAUUCAAGCAUAAGCAUAUGAAAAAUGGUAUAGUGAACCUGAGUUUGAUUUUUUGAAGCUUGGAGACUUAAAUAUUUGAAUAAGAGAACAUAAAAAAAAUCUACUGAGUAAUCCUCUAUGGAGAUCAUAUUAUCUUUCUGGAGGAAGUACAAAGAAAUGGAUUGUGGAGGGAUAACCUCAACAUGCAAAUAGUAUCACUUUGAGAAAAAAAUUCUAGAAUCCCUUGAAACAAUCACGUGAGUGUGGUGCAUGCGUAUAGCUUACCUUAGCGACAUGAGGAAGAGGCAGUCAGAAAAACGCACAGUUGCUCUCCUUCUUCCAACUUUCCUCUUCAGCUUGCCUCUUUUUGUAAGUACUGCCCUGGUCCUGGGGAGAAAAAAUUAAGCAUUUACUGUAAUAACCUAUGUAAAUUUCUUCAUUCCAAAGAACAAACAAAUGUUAUCUUCUUCAUUUGCUCAUAGAAACUGAGGGGCAUGUUUAGAGCCAUUGGAAACAGAAGCAAAUAUAUUUGAAUUAUAUUCAGUUGAAAACAGGAGGACGGGUAGCUUCCACAAUUUUCUAAAGCUAGCAACAUAGAAAAGGGCCAGCCACCGCUUGUAUGUUACCGCUGAAUAAAUCUAAAAGUUUUUAAUAUAGAAGGUUCAAGCACCUUUUUUCACACAUUAGUUUGGCCAUAUUUAACCAGUACUAAUGCAAAGAGCGUAGCUAUUGCAAACCAAAUGGAACAUGAGAUCGCAAGACUGAACCUGCUGCCGGACGGCGGCAAGGAUGUCAGCGUCCACCCAACAAAUCUCUCUAUGAAUCUUCUCCAUCAGCGGCUCGACCACCAAGAACGACGCCUCUGCCAAGCCACACAAAAACAUAACCAAUGAUAAAAUCCUGAACAGCGAAGUUCAAAAGAGCACAUUGCAAUUACAUGUAAACAACAAAUAGAUGGAGCUAAUAUCAAUUUCAGGAAUAUUUUUGCAACAAAGUCUAGUCAUGCACAACACUGCCAAAUAUAAGAUGCUUAUGGCGUCUAGCGACUCAUGCACUUUGAUCAAACAGAGACAAAAUUGCAAGGCGGAAGAUGAAGUGAUGACUGCAAACUUAACCAAAAGGUUUACUGCAGAAAGAGGAGCGAGACAGAUAUAUGCUGAAUAAGUGAAUCUGGUAUUUCAUAC
rnacentral:lncRNA from 1 species